UACGUAGGGGGCUAGCGUUGUCCGGAAUCAUUGGGCGUAAAGCGCGCGUAGGCGGCCAGAUAAGUCCGGUGUGAAAGCCACAGGCUCAACCUGUGAAUGCCGCUGGAAACUGUCUGGCUAGAGUCCGGGAGGGGCGAGUGGAAUUCCUGGUGUAGCGGUGAAAUGCGCAGAUAUCAGGAGGAACACCAACGGCGAAGGCAGCUCGCUGGGACGGUACUGACGCUGGAGACGCGAAAGCGUGGGGAGCGAACAGG
rnacentral:rRNA from 1 species